rnacentral:rRNA from 1 species
CCUACGGGAGGCAGCAGUGGGGAAUAUUGGACAAUGGGGGGAACCCUGAUCCAGCCAUGCCGCGUGUGUGAAGAAGGCCUUUUGGUUGUAAAGCACUUUAAGCGAGGAGGAGGCUCUCUUGGUUAAUACCUGAGAAGAGUGGACGUUACUCGCAGAAUAAGCACCGGCUAACUCUGUGCCAGCAGCCGCGGUAAUACAGAGGGUGCGAGCGUUAAUCGGAUUUACUGGGCGUAAAGCGCGCGUAGGUGGUUAAUUAAGUCAAAUGUGAAAUCCCCGAGCUUAACUUGGGAAUUGCAUUCGAUACUGGUUAGCUAGAGUAUGGGAGAGGAUGGUAGAAUUCCAGGUGUAGCGGUGAAAUGCGUAGAGAUCUGGAGGAAUACCGAUGGCGAAGGCAGCCAUCUGGCCUAAUACUGACACUGAGGUGCGAAAGCAUGGGGA